rnacentral:rRNA from 1 species
CCUACGGGUGGCAGCAGUGAGGAAUAUUGGUCAAUGGGCUUACGCCUGAACCAGCCAAGUCGCGUGAUGGAAGACUGCCCUAUGGGUUGUAAACCUCUUUUGUCAGGGAGCAACGCCGGCUACGUGUAGCCGGACUGAGAGUAACUGAAGAAAAAGCAUCGACUAACUCAGUGCCAGCAGCCGCGGUAAUACGGAGGAUGCGAGCGUUAUCCGGAUUUAUUGGUUUUAAAGGGUGCGUAGGCGGAAGUCCAAGUCAGCGGUAAACUCGCGGGGCUUAACCUCGCUCCGCCGUUGACACUGGCGUUCUUGAUUGGGCGAGAAGUAUGCGGAAUGCGUGGUGUAGCGGUGAAAGGCAUAGAUAUCACGCAGAACUCCGAUUGCGAAGGCAGCAUACCGGCGCCCAACUGACGCUGAAGCACGAAAGCGUGGGUAUCGAACAGGAUUAGAUACCCGGGUAGUC